UGGCCAAGUCCCGGCUGCUCGUGUCCGGACGCGCGGUGGACUCAGGGGUGGGGAAGCCGCGCCCUCGGGCUGCGGGAGGGCCAAUGAACUGGCGGUCGGAGCCCUGGGGACGGAAUUAAGAGAACGUUUGGAGAGGGACUCGGGGGGAGACGUGCCACUGAGAGAGAAAGGGGUGGGGUAGGGCGGCCGACGCCCGGUUGAGGCGGAGAGCGCCGGGCAGGGGGAGGGGGACGAAAAGCGGCUGAGAGAACCGGGGCUGGAGGAGCCCAGGGUGCCCAGAAUGUGCCCUCUUCGCGCAGGGCUGCGGCCGAGGAGGAUCCUGGAGCUCGUGGAAUAGUUACCGAGUCGGCCUCUGCCCACCCCAGCGGGGGUUUAGGGAAAGGGCAAACUGUGACCGGGACUCGUGCACCCGGUUAAUUGAAUAUUAAUCACCCCAAGGCCUAGGCCAACCGCCCCCCAGAGAGUGGCAGCUGCAGAACCCACUAGCCGCGGAGCCGGGCUGGGGGCGGGGAAGGGAGGGGGCCGCAGCUCUCGCCCCGCCGGCAGUUUAACUGCCUCCGCAGCCUCAGGCCUACCGGUGUGACCCCGGCUGCGACUGGGAUUCAUUUAUUCCGAAUGUCCCAGCCCACGCCGGGCCCAGGGUGUGGCGACACGAGGCCAAGCUGCGUCUGUAUCUGUGCCCCUGUCUACACACAUGCAUGUGCGCAUGUCUAGGGCUUGCUGGAACGCAGGUGCACAGAAUAGACGCGGGGCCUGCCUGUAGAGCGCGUGGAAGAUCAGUCUCGGCUUAAAUAUGUGCAGGUACCUAGGGAGUAGGGUAGCAACGACGCCUGAUUGGCCGCGCGGGUCCCUUCGCAACCGGGCGAUUGGCUGCCUGGUAUCCAGGAGACCGACGUCAAACUCGGACUGGGAAAAGGGGAAAGUCUUGGGGGAGCGAUAGAGGGGAAGGGGAGAAAGAAGCAAUGAAUGAAACGCCCAUCGCCUGACCUUCCCCUUUCCCCUUUCCUCCGCAUUCUUGGAGCACUUCCUGGAAAAACACCAGUUGGGGCGCCGCCUUCCCCUCCAAACCGUGGGGCCUGCACUGUCAACCUGCUAUAAGGAAGUUAAACCGCAGCUCACCAUGGAGUCGGUGUCUGCGGGGCGGGCCCGUGUAGACCAGCUGUAGAUGUCAGGCCUAGGAGCUAUUGGCUUUAUGGACGCAAAAUCUGGAUGGAGCUGCCUUCUCCACUUUGGGUCUCCAGCCUCUCCUUUUCAGAAGGAGCCGCAUUGAGAAAGGAUAUUUCUGAAGGCUCACUGCGUAGAAGGGGAGGGAGGAUGGGUUUGUGGAAUGGGCUGACGGUGGGGAGUGGUCAGGUGACUGAUUUAAUGUUUAUUGUACAGAUUCCUAAAACAUAGUUUCACUCAGUGACUCCUUAAAUUCUGAUUGUUGUGAUUUUUUUUUUUUUAAUGUUUAGGUUUUUUAGUUGCAAACGAGAGUGGAAUUGAACUGUGAAAGUAUGGCAAAACUGUGAAAGCAUUUAAAUUAAAAUGGCACUUCCUCUGCAUUGAAAUGUCAUUAAAACAUCAAAUAUAAAUGAUUUGUUCAGUUUUGUUUUUUUAA